UUAACAUAUUUAUGCGCACGUGCAACUCACCAAAGAGGGAAUUUGCGAAGCCGUACCACUUGCAGCCGUACUCUCCGAUGAGCCAUCUACCCUGCAGACUCGCAGCGAAACUGAAGGGUGUCCCGAAAACGCACACAAGGAUGUCGCUCAAGCUGAUGUUCAACAGGAUGAGGUUGAUGGGCGUCCAGAGCGAGCGAAACUUUGCGAACACAAGGAGCGCAAAGAAGUUGCCAAGGCUUCCCGCCACGAGAAUGAAGCCAAGGCAUGCUGCCACCACCGUGUGUCCGUUGCGGCUCAGCCCGCCGGAAGGGCUUUGGGGCGCCGGGGUGUCCCGCAGGUUGGAGUCGAUACCGAGGCUGAAGCUGGAGAGAGAGCUGUCUAUGGUGCUGAUGUUACAACCGCUCGUGUGGAUGACCAUAGCAGAGAGAGAGAUGAGAGCAGAGGGCUGAAGAGGAGCUGGACUCGGUGUGAAGGACAAAAUCCUGUACGGCAGUACUACGUGAGCACCACGCGCUGCUGAUUCUGUGUGUAGCUGCAGAUUGCUGAUUUGAUCCAGCAACAAAGGAACCAAACAAAUACGGAAACCUCUUCAACAUUUUAUUUCUGCAAAGCCUCCAAAACAAAGGAAGAAGGUCAGGGAUCAGGGAUAUCUCAACGGUGUUAUGUUUUACUGCCAUCAGUACUACACAUCAGUCUUCCAAAAAUAGAAAGAAUCAAAGAGAGCUGAAGUUGAGUGAAAUUCUUGUUGGAAGUCCAUCUAUCCAUCCAUUCAUUCUUUCCUCCCUCCAUCCACCCAUCCAUCCAUCAAUUUUCUUACUGCUCCACAUAAGGGGUUGGAGGGCUGGAGCCAAUCCCAUCUGUCACAGGGCAGACACUCAUACCUAUGGGAACCUACUUGCUGUUGUGCAAUAGUGCCAACCAAUGUAUCAUCAUGUAGCCAUAUAGAAGUCUAAGUAUCUUAAGUUCACUGUCAACAUCUGCUGAAAAUGUGUGAAUGAUGUUUUCAAAGCAAAAGCCCCCAGUCAUCCAAAACUCAUAGGCAAACUCACUUAGGACUCCUCUGGGGACACUGCACUGUUCACUUUCAAAUCCACAAAAGCCAACUCUAUUGUGUCUGGUUUUCGUUGUCAAAUACCUAAAAAAAGAAAAAACGUGAGGGAGCAAGAAAAGAAACUGUCCAACCUCUCCCACCCAAGUGCAUUUUCUUUCAGCUCACACAUCAGUUUAAUCCCCCUCCCUGACCUAAAAAAAAGAAAACUCUCUGCAUCUGUUCAUCCUUUCAACUUAUAUAGUUCUUUGACAUGCAGUAUUUAUAUCUCAAUACAUGUAUUAACAUAGUUUCAUUCGCAGAGUUUUCAACCUGUAAUAUUUGUUCUGACAAAGUCUACGAUGUGUUACCAUUGUAUUUGAAAACUGACUGUAUAAUUCAUUGGAUAUAAAAGACAAAGGGAUAUUUAGAUGCUUAAACUCCAGUGAUCUAAAGAAAUCAUA